UUAUGGAUAGCUCACGGGUAGAGCAGCGAAUUCUUAAUUCGUCGGUCGCAGGUUCGACUCCUGCUCCAUAAGCCA
rnacentral:tRNA from 1 species